AGUGGUGCAAUCUUGGCUCACCGCAACCUCUGCCUCCUGGGUUCAAGCAAUUCUUCUGCCUCAGCCACCCGAAUAGUAGCUGAGACUACAGGUGCAUGCCAUCAUGCCUCGCUAAUUUUCGUAUUUUUAGUAGAGACGGAGUUUCACCAUGUUGGCCGGGCUACUCUCAAACAUCUGACCUCAAGUGAUCCACCCACCUCGGCCUCCAAAAGUGAUGGGAUUACAGGUGUGAGCCACUGCACCCGGCCUGGAACUCUUCCAUGAAGGGGAAGAAAAAGAUAAAACCAAACACAGCCCAGAAAUUCUGGCAUACAAAUCAGAAAAGAACUACUUCUUAGCCACCUGUGCCAGACAGAGUCUCACUCUGUUGCCCAGGCUGAAGUGCAAUGGUUUGAUCUCGGCUGACCACAACCCCCAUCUCCUGGAUUCAAGCAAUUCUCCUGCCUCAGCCUCCCGAGUAGCUGGGAUUAGAGGCAUGUGCCACCACGCCCGGCUAAUUUUAUAUUUUUAGUAGAGACGGGGUUUCUCCAUGUUGGUCAGGCUGGUCUCGAACUCCCAACCUCAGGUGAUCUGCCUGCCUCGGCCUCCCAAAGUGCUGAGAUUACAGGUGUGAGCCACUGCACCCAGCCUCCAUCUUGCUUCUAACCUUUAAGUUGCCCUUCUUCAUUCCUGGGCAAAGGCCGAACUAACCUUGGGAAGAAAUUUAGUUUAUGCUUCAACUGCGAAACAAAAUUGGUAAUAGUCCUUUCCGAAAAGACCCCCUUCUUGUCUUGGGACCAGUCUGCCUUUGCAGGACUAACAAAUUAGCUACAAGAUUAGAAAUUAUGGUUAAGGGGUCAUGCAGCCUCUGGCUGCAAGAGUCUGAGCCUCCCCAAAUUGCUCCUGGGGAUAACAUCACUGUUGUAAAACCUAAGUUCAGUGCUUGAGAUAUUUUGCAGAUCCUGCACUUGAUGGAUCAGCUGACACCACCCAGACCAUAAUCUGGCUCAACCAGUUCUGCAACUCCACCCAGGAACAGAAGACAGCAAGAAAAACUCACUUCGACCCCCUAUGAUUCCAUUUCCAACCUGACCAAUCAGUGCUCCCCACUUUCCAAGCCCCUACCCACCAAAUUAUCUUUAAAAACUCUGAUCCCUGAAUGCUUGGGAGACUGAUUUGAGUAAUAAUAAAACUCUGGUUUCCCAUACA
ensembl:lncRNA novel transcript